AUUGUUCGCCUUGCGAACUGGGUCACUUGAGUACAGGAGAGGAAAGCGGAAUUCCUAGUGUAGCGGUGAAAUGCAUAGAUAUUAGGAGGAACACCGGUGGCGAAGGCGGCUUUCUGGACUGCAACUGACACUGAGGCACGAAAGCGUGGGUAGCAAACAGGAUUAGAUACCCUGGUAGUCCACGCCGUAAACGAUGAGCACUAGGUGUCGGCCACUAAAGGUCGGUGCCGCAGUUAACGCAUUAAGUGCUCCGCCUGGGGAGUACGCACGCAAGUGUAAAACUCAAAGGAAUUGACGGGGACCCGCACAAGCAGCGGAGCAUGUGGUUUAAUUCGAAGCAACGCGAAGAACCUUACCAGAGCUUGACAUCCCUCUGACAGAUCCUUAAUCGGAUUCUUCUUCGGACAGAGGAGACAGGUGGUGCAUGGUUGUCGUCAGCUCGUGUCGCGAGAUGUUGGGUUAAGUCUCGCAACGAGCGCAACCCUUAUCAUUAGUUGCCAUCAUUAGGUUGGGCACUCUAGUGAGACUGCCGGGGACAACUCGGAGGAAGGUGGGGAUGACGUCAAAUCAUCAUGCCCCUUAUGUUCUGGGCUACACACGUGCUACAAUGGUCGGUACAGAAAGCGGCGAAACCGUGAGGUGAAGCCAAUCUCCAAAACCGAUCUCAGUUCGGAUUGUAGGCUGCAACUCGCCUACAUGAAGUCGGAGUUGCUAGUAAUCGCAGAUCAGAAUGCUGCGGUGAAUGCGUUUCCGGGUCUUGUACACACCGCCCGUCACACCAUGGAAGUUGGGGGUGCC
rnacentral:rRNA from 1 species